rnacentral:rRNA from 1 species
GUUGCAGGGUAUAGACCCGAAACCCGGUGAUCUAGCCAUGGGCAGGUUGAAGGUUGGGUAACACUAACUGGAGGACCGAACCGACUAAUGUUGAAAAAUUAGCGGAUGACCUGUGGCUGGGGGUGAAAGGCCAAUCAAACCGGGAGAUAGCUGGUUCUCCCCGAAAGCUAUUUAGGUAGCGCCUCGUGAAUUCAUCUCCGGGGGUAGAGCACUGUUUCGGCUAGGGGGCCAUCCCGGCUUACCAACCCGAUGCAAACUGCGAAUACCGGAGAAUGUUAUCACGGGAGACACACGGCGGGUGCUAACGUCCGUCGUGAAGAGGGAAACAACCCAGACCGCCAGCUAAGGUCCCAAAGUCAUGGUUAAGUGGGAAACGAUGUGGGAAGGCCCAGACAGCCAGGAUGUUGGCUUAGAAGCAGCCAUCAUUUAAAGAAAGCGUAAUAGCUCACUGGUCGAGUCGGCCUGCGCGGAAGAUGUAACGGGGCUAAACCAUGCACCGAAGCUGCGGCAGCGACGCUGAUGCGUUGUUGGGUAGGGGAGCGUUCUGUAAGCCUGCGAAGGUGGCCUGUGAGGGUUGCUGGAGGUAUCAGAAGUGCGAAUGCUGACAUAAGUAACGAUAAAGCGGGUGAAAAGCCCGCUCGCCGGAAGACCAAGGGUUCCUGUCCAACGUUAAUCGGGGCAGGGUGAGUCGACCCCUAAGGCGAGGCCGAAAGGCGUAGUCGAUGGGAAACGGGUUAAUAUUCCCGUACUUGGUGUUACUGCGAAGGGGGGACGGAGAAGGCUAUGUUGGCCGGGCGACGGUU